rnacentral:rRNA from 1 species
UACAGAGGAUGCAAGCGUUAUCCGGAAUUAUUGGGCGUAAAGCGUCUGUAGGCGGCUUUUUAAGUCCGCUGUCAAAUCCCAGGGCUCAACUCUGGACAGGCGGUGGAAACUACCAAGCUGGAGUACGGUAGGGGCAGAGGGAAUUUCCGGUGGAGCGGUGAAAUGCGUAGAGAUCGGAAAGAACACCAACGGCGAAAGCACGCUGCUGGGCCGACACUGACGCUGAGAGACGAAAGCGAGGGGAGCGAAUAGG